rnacentral:misc_RNA from 1 species
UGGCUCUGGCAACGAUGAAGAACGCAGCGAAACGCGAAAGUUAAUGCGAAUUGCAGAAUCAGUGAGUCAUCGAGUUUUUGAACGCACAUUGCGCCUCUCGGUAUUCCGGGAGGCACGCCUGUUCGAGCGCCAUUUCACACCCCAAGCUCAGCUUGAUGUUGGACGAUGCUGUUGACAUAUAUUCUUCGGAAUGAAAAACGGCAAGUCUGGAACGUGUUGGCGCCGCCGCCGAACCACGAGCGUAGCAAGAUUUUUACGAAUCAUCCGCUGUGUUGGAUUUCGGUUGGAUGGUCUGCCUUUCAUAUAAAUUCAAAGGUUUGGCCUCGAAUCAGGUGGGGAUACCCGCUGA